rnacentral:rRNA from 1 species
AACGAACGCUGGCGGCAGGCCUAACACAUGCAAGUCGAACGCCGUAGCAAUACGGAGUGGCAGACGGGUGAGUAACGCGUGGGAACAUACCCCUCGGUUCGGAAUAACUCAGGGAAACUUGAGCUAAUACCGGAUACGUCCGAGGUUUUAAUCGGCCUUGGAGAAAGAUUUAUCGCCGGAGGAUUGGCCCGCGUCUGAUUAGCUUGUUGGUGAGGUAAUGGCUCACCAAGGCGACGANCAGUAGCUGGUCUGAGAGGAUGAUCAGCCACAUUGGGACUGAGACACGGCCCAAACUCCUACGGGAGGCAGCAGUGGGGAAUAUUGGACAAUGGGCGAAAGCCUGAUCCAGCCAUGCCGCGUGAGUGAUGAAGGCCUUAGGGUUGUAAAGCUCUUUACCCGGGAAGAUAAUGACGGUACCGGGAGAAUAAGCCCCGGCUAACUUCGUGCCAGCCGCC